UAACAAUACACUUACUGAAGGACCAACCACACAGCCUCUCUCCUUCUGCAGCCUCCUGGAAGUGUGGAUCUUCUAGCAGGAGGGUCAGUCAGUCCUCCACUAGGUACCUAGCUGGACCUCUAUCUAGCAGGAGGGUCAGUUAGUCCUCCACUAGGUACCUAGCU